GCUUACGGCCAUACCACCUUAGGCACGCCCGAUCUCGUCUGAUCUCGGAAGCUAAGCAGGGUCGGGCCUGGGUUAGUACUUGGAUGGGUGACCGCCUGGGAAUACCAGGUGCUGUAAGCA
ensembl:rRNA 5S_rRNA 5S ribosomal RNA